UGCCAUUGCCUUCUCCGAUGAGCCCCAACUAACCUCCCCGAAACACACACACAGACACACACAUAUGCAUGCGCGCAUCUUAGAUGUGCAUGUUAAACCACUGUCAAGCAAUCUAUUUGGUGCUGGGAUGUAAAGAACAGAUGUCAACCUACGGCCACUGCUUCCAGUGGUCCUUGCCAGACCUGUGUGCUGAACUACCCCCUUCGUGUGGUUUCACUCACCCUCUGCCCUCAGAUAAGGAUGAGGGUCUUUGCUGGAUGCUGUGCUGGACAACAGGAAGGUGGGCUGAGCCGUGAGGUAGGAAGAUCUAUAGACUUUGGACUCAGAUCACUCAGCUUUCAGUGAGACUUCGUGAUGAAGCUGUGUCAAGGCAAGGUGAUCUACAUUUGAAAAACAAAUUUUAAAAUGUAUUCAUCCCACCCACCAUUACAGAGUCAUAUCUGUUCAUGGUAAAACAAAAAACUCAGACAGCACAGAACCCUACAGAAAAAAAGGAAGCAAACGCACCCAUAAUUCACAACCCUGGGAAAACUUCCAGCAUUUGAUCUUUUUCUGUUUACUCCUUGCUCAGUGUGUAUCUCUGUCUCUAUCUCUACCUAUAAUAAAUAAUAUCGACCACUUGAAA